UUUCCUGUAAAUCCUGCAAGGAGGAGCAGUUAUGACUACUCCCGCCUAUUUUGGUAUAAAUCACUGAACACGUUAAGCUGACUGUCAAACGUCUUUCAGUCAGAGGAUUUAGGUGUUUUUUCUGCAGAAACUCUCAGUGGAGUCUGAUUGAAGAAAGAAAUAGAAACAACUUCUCUCUGAUUUGAUUCAACUUAUCUCAAACUGACCGUCAGAAUGCUUAUCGCAGCGUUCAAUGUUAAGAGGCUGGGACGGGCAAAAAUCAACAACCCAGAUGUGCUGAAAAAUCUGAUUAAGAUUGUGUCUAGGUACAGUGUGGUGGUGAUGUUGGAGGUGGUGGAUCAGAGCGGCGAGGCCAUGGAAAUGUUCCUCGAAGAACUCAACGACUUCAGACCGAACAGAAACAAUCAGUACAGCAUGAUAUGCAGUGAGUCUCUGGGACGAGGCACCUACAGGGAGCAGUUUGUCUUCUUCUACAGAGAGGAUGAGGCGACAAUCAUCAACCAAUACCAGUACGAGGAAGAAGGAAAUGUAGACGUGCUCGUCAGAGAGCCGUUUAUUGUGCAGUUUAAUUGUCCAAAUACAGUUGUGCAGAACCUGGUGCUGAUCCCGGUCCACACCAAACCGGAGGACGCAGAGACGGAGCUGAGCGCUCUGCAUGAUGUGGUCCAAGAUGCGAUAAGAAAAAUGAAGACUAAAAACAUCAUGAUUCUGGGAGACUUUAAUGCAGAUGGACCUUAUUUUCCUGAGGCACGGAGGGGAAACAUCAGACUGGGGAAACCUCCCUACCAUUGGCUGAUAGAUGAUGAUGUCGACACCACGACAAGUGACAAUAAUGACCGAACCUACGACAGGAUUGUUGUGUAUGGAGAUCAGAUGAAGAGGGCUGUCGUGACAAACUCAGCUCAACCUUUCGACUUUAAGACGACCUUCAGGCUGUCCGCUGUCGCUGUAAGACUGCUGACAUGGAGAUGUUGAUCAGCUGCAGCCGUCAGCGAUCACUACCCUGUGGAGGUGGAGCUGAAGGAGAGGAGAUAGGACUUUUUCAAGGCAUCAGAAGGAGAAGAAGGAUGUCCCGAGGACGGCAUCGACAAUCCUUUUUUAAUAAAACAUGAUUGCAUGAUAUGGCAAAGCUUAAUAAAACAGACUAUAUCACUGUUUAUUUACUCAUAAUGCUUAUGGCUUCUUCUUUAUGUUACAACCAAUUACAUCAAUCAGAAAACUCCUGAAGAUAACAAGGAAAUGAAACUGUAUCUGGGUUUUCUUUAUGUAUCUGAACAUCAAAAAGCUGAAUGUAAUGUUUAAUUAAUUUCUGUGUAACAGUUUUAAUGAUUAAAUAAUUUUUUAACCGUUGUUUGAGAACAAAGUUCAUGUCACCCACCUGCUCAAAAGAAUAUUUUUUCCUUUUUGUGACUGUUUUUGUAACAUUUUGUGAUGUUGAAACUUGAGAUGUCGACGUCACAUGCAGAGAAUUUACUUUAUAGAGGAGACAGAGACAUCUUGUGUCCAAACACUGAAACUGCAAAUAUUUUUAAAGUGUGUAGAUUCUGAAUUGGAUGUAAUUAUCAGAAUUACUCCAUCAAACCAUCAAAUAUGUGUCUCUUUGGUGUUGCAAUAUUGAGUUUACAGUGUGUUUCUGUUUCAAAACAUUAGUCAUUGUAGGUUUAAACUGACUUUAUCAAACUAUGACGUCACUGAGAUGCUUUCAGGGUUAAAAUAAAACCACAAAAACAGCUCAGUUCACCUGGUGAAACAGCC